ACUGACUCAAAAUACUGCCCCCUAUCCAAGAGAGGUUAACCGACUGACUCAAAAUACUGCCCCCUAUCCAAGAGAGGUUAACCGACUGACUCAAAAUACUGGCCCCUACCCAAGAGAGGUUAACCGACUGACUCAAAAUACUGGCCCCUACCCAAGAGAGGUUAACCGACUGACUCAAAAUACUGGCCCCUACCCAAGAGAGAUUAACCGACUGACUCAAAAUACUGCCCCCUACCCAAGAGAGGUUAACCGACUGACUCAAAAUACUGCCCCCUAUCCAAGAGAGGUUAACCGACUGACUCAAAAUACUGCCCCUACCCAAGAGAGGUUACCGACUGACUCAAAAUACUGCCCCCUAUCCAAGAGAGGUUAACCGACUGACUCAAAAUACUGCCCC